rnacentral:rRNA from 2 species
CAUACCUGCGGGUCUAUACAUGCAAGUCGAGCGAACUGAUUAGAAGCUUGCUUCUAUGACGUUAGCGGCGGACGGGUGAGUAACACGUGGGCAACCUGCCUGUAAGACUGGGAUAACUUCGGGAAACCGAAGCUAAUACCGGAUAGGAUCUUCUCCUUCAUGGGAGAUGAUUGAAAGAUGGUUUCGGCUAUCACUUACAGAUGGGCCCGCGGUGCAUUAGCUAGUUGGUGAGGUAACGGCUCACCAAGGCAACGAUGCAUAGCCGACCUGAGAGGGUGAUCGGCCACACUGGGACUGAGACACGGCCCAGACUCCUACGGGAGGCAGCAGUAGGGAAUCUUCCGCAAUGGACGAAAGUCUGACGGAGCAACGCCGCGUGAGUGAUGAAGGCUUUCGGGUCGUAAAACUCUGUUGUUAGGGAAGAACAAGUACGAGAGUAACUGCUCGUACCUUGACGGUACCUAACCAGAAAGCCACGGCUAACUACGUGCCAGCAGCCGCGGUAAUACGUAGGUGGCAAGCGUUAUCCGGAAUUAUUGGGCGUAAAGCGCGCGCAGGCGGUUUCUUAAGUCUGAUGUGAAAGCCCACGGCUCAACCGUGGAGGGUCAUUGGAAACUGGGGAACUUGAGUGCAGAAGAGAAAAGCGGAAUUCCACGUGUAGCGGUGAAAUGCGUAGAGAUGUGGAGGAACACCAGUGGCGAAGGCGGCUUUUUGGUCUGUAACUGACGCUGAGGCGCGAAAGCGUGGGGAGCAAACAGGAUUAGAUACCCUGGUAGUCCACGCCGUAAACGAUGAGUGCUAAGUGUUAGAGGGUUUCCGCCCUUUAGUGCUGCAGCUAACGCAUUAAGCACUCCGCCUGGGGAGUACGGUCGCAAGACUGAAACUCAAAGGAAUUGACGGGGGCCCGCACAAGCGGUGGAGCAUGUGGUUUAAUCGAAGCAACGCGAAGAACCUUACCAGGUCUUGACAUCCUCUGACAACUUCUAGAGAUAGAGCGGUUCCCUUUCGGGGGACAGAGCUGACAGGUGGCUGCAUGGCUCGUCGUCAGCUCGUUGUCGUGAGGAUUGCUGGGGUUUAGUUC